GACGAACCGUGCGAACGUUAUUCGGAAUCACUGGGCUUAAAGGGUGCGUAGGCUGCGUGGAGGGUGGGGUGUGAAAUCCCUCGGCUUAACCGAGGAAUUGCGCUCCAAACCGCCUUGCUGGAGUGAGACAGAGGUGAGCGGAACUAAUGGUGGAGCGGUGAAAUGCGUUGAUAUCAUUAGGAACACCAGAGGCGAAGGCGGCUCACUGGGUCUCAACUGACGCUGAUGCACGAAAGCUAGGGUAGCGAACGGG
rnacentral:rRNA from 1 species